rnacentral:rRNA from 1 species
GUCUAUUGAGAUGAUUUUUUUAUUUAAUAUACUCUAGUGCUAAGCAGGGUCGGGCCUGGUUAGUACUUGGAUGGGAGACCACCUAGGAGGACCAGGUGCUGUAGGCG